CCUACGGGGGGCAGCAGUGGGGAAUAUUGGACAAUGGGGGGAACCCUGAUCCAGCCAUGCCGCGUGUGUGAAGAAGGCCCUCGGGUUGUAAAGCACUUUCAGUGAGGAAGAACGCCUGGUGGUUAAUACCCAUCAGGAAAGACAUCACUCACAGAAGAAGCACCGGCUAACUCCGUGCCAGCAGCCGCGGUAAUACGGAGGGUGCGAGCGUUAAUCGGAAUUACUGGGCGUAAAGCGCGCGUAGGUGGCUUGAUAAGCCGGUUGUGAAAGCCCCGGGCUCAACCUGGGAACGGCAUCCGGAACUGUCAAGCUAGAGCGCAGGAGAGGAAGGUAGAAUUCCCGGUGUAGCGGUGAAAUGCGUAGAGAUCGGGAGGAAUACCAGUGGCGAAGGCGGCCUUCUGGACUGACACUGACACUGAGGUGCGAAAGCGUGGGUAGCAAACAGGAUUAGAUACCCUAGUAGUC
rnacentral:rRNA from 1 species